rnacentral:rRNA from 1 species
GCUAGCUGCGUGAAGUAAUGUGAAUUGCAGACACAUUGAUCAUUGACAUUUUGAACGCAUAUUGCGGAAGUGGGUUUUUCCCGCUUCCAGGUUCUCUUGACGGCGUCAUUAAGCGGAAGCAUGUACUCAUGUUCCUGACAUGCCUGUGUUGGUUGACUUCGUGGGCCUUGUGGUCGUUGGAAUUGUACUACAAUGCCUUGUGAAUUGUGCUUGAAUGGGGUAAGGUAUCACUGUUGCUUUGCCUUGCGGUCGUGCUUGAAUGAGCUCAUUUCGCUACCUAGCCUUGCGUUCGCGCUAGAUUGGGCUAAUCAGUAACGUUUAUGUGGCUUGCGCGUUCUGCUCGCAAUAGGCAAAGAAUGGUGCCUCUGUGCAAUUUCAUCGAAUGGGCGCUGUAUAUUCUUUGUUCCAAUGACCCUUGAAUGGGCUCYACAGGUUCAGUUGACUGUCAGUUAAAGGAGUUAUUGGGUGGCUGCAGCUAAAGCUGUACCCACCGUGAGUGAAGAAUGCCGGCCGGAUCUGUCGGUAUGUUAAWGAAGCAGCCUUUUGCUUGCGAACCAGGUAAACGUACUGCGUUUUUGCUGUUAGCAUUCAACAGCCUACGGUCGUUUAUACCGUUAGGUGCAAGACGUAGCUACAUGCAAUGCUUGGUAACAAGUAUAUAGGCUGCAUUUUUAUUUUACGCGUCAAGUAGAGCCUGACUACCCGCUUAAUUUAAGCAUAUUAGUAAGCGGAGGAAAAGAAACUAACAAGGAUUCCCUUAGUACG